rnacentral:rRNA from 1 species
CCUACGGGAGGCAGCAGUGAGGAAUAUUGGUCAAUGGCCGGAAGGCUGAACCAGCCAAGCCGCGUGAAGGACGAAGGUUCCAAGCAUUGUAAACUUCUUUUGUCAAGGAACAAAAUCAGGCUCGAGAUCCUGACCGAGCGUACUUGAAGAAAAAGCAUCGGCUAACUCUGCGCCAGCAGCCGCGGUAAUACGGAGGAUGCGAGUGUUAUCCGGUUUCAUUGGGUUGAAAGGGUGGGUAGGCGGCCUGUUAAGUCAGCGGAAAAAGCCCGGGCUAAACCCCGGCGAGCCGUUGAAACUGGCUGUCUUGAGUGGUGGAGAGGUAAGCGGAAUGCGUAGUGUAGCGGUGAUAUGCUUAGAUAUUAGGCAGAACUCCAGUGGCGAAGGCAGCAUACCGGAGGCGAUCUGACGCUGAGGCACGAAAGCGUGGGUAUCGAACAGGAGUAGAUACCCGGGUAGUC